rnacentral:rRNA from 58 species
AACAAGGUUUCCGUAGGUGAACCUGCGGAAGGAUCAUU